rnacentral:rRNA from 1 species
GAUGAACGCUAGCGAUAGGCUUAACACAUGCAAGUCGAGGGGCAGCAUGGUCUUAGCUUGCUAAGACUGAUGGCGACCGGCGCACGGGUGCGUAACGCGUAUGCAACUUGCCUCACAGAGGGGGAUAACCCGUCGAAAGACGGACUAAUACCGCGUACACUCUAUGUUGGGCAUCCAAUGUAGAGGAAAUGAAAUUCGCUGUGAGAUAGGCAUGCGUCCCAUUAGCUAGUUGGUGAGGUAACGGCUCACCAAGGCGACGAUGGGUAGGGGAACUGAGAGGUUGAACCCCCACACUGGUACUGAGACACGGACCAGACUCCUACGGGAGGCAGCAGUGAGGAAUAUUGGUCAAUGGGCGAGAGCCUGAACCAGCCAAGUCGCGUGAAGGAUGACUGUCUUAUGGAUUGUAAACUUCUUUUAUACGGGAAUAACAAGAGCCACGUGUGGCUCCCUGCAUGUACCGGAUGAAUAAGCAUCGGCUAACUCCGUG